GGGGAUGUAGCUCAAUUGGUAGAGCGUUUGAAUGGCAUUCAAAAGGUCAGGGGUUCGAUUCCCCUCAUCUCCA
rnacentral:tRNA from 4 species